rnacentral:rRNA from 1 species
CACGGAGUUAGCCGGUGCUUAUUCGUACAGUACCUUCAGCUAGAUACACGUAUCUAGGUUUAUCCCUGUACAAAAGAAGUUUACAACCCAUAGGGCAGUCGUCCUUCACGCGGGAUGGCUGGAUCAGGCUCUCACCCAUUGUCCAAUAUUCCUCACUGCUGCCUCCCGUAGGAGUCUGGUCCGUGUCUCAGUACCAGUGUGGGGGAUCACCCUCUCAGGCCCCCUAAAGAUCACUGACUUGGUGAGCCGUUACCUCACCAACUAUCUAAUCUUGCGCGUGCCCAUCUCUAUCCACCGGAGUUUUCAAUAAAAAACGAUGCCGUUCAUUAUAUUAUGGGGUAUUAAUCUUCCUUUCGAAAGGCUAUCCCCUGAUAAAGGCAGGUUGCACACGUGUUCCGCACCCGUACGCCGCUCUCAAGUCCCCGAAGAGACUCUACCGCUCGGCUUGCAUGUGUUAGGCCUCCGCUAGCGUUCAUCCUGAGCCAGGAUCAAACUCU